CAACUACACAUGAUAUUACCAUUGUGGUAAAUACAAGUGCAUUUUCAUUCAUGAAAAGCGAUAAAUGUACGUAUUUGCUUCAAACCCGAUACCGUUCUCGUUGCAAGCCGUUAUGUUACUGCCGGUUCUUGCCAACCGGCGGCCAUCUUGUACCAUGUGACCAUAACAAAUGACGUCACGCUGGCAUUUCCUAUAUGAAAGACCACCCUGCAGAACACCUCACACACUAAAUGAUUCAGGGCCCCAAUACUGUUAUUAUUUUGUCUCAGAACAGUCCUCUACUUUUCUUGGAUCCUUUGAUUUUUGACUGAGGAGAGAAGGCUUGCAGAUGACUGACGUGGUCCUCGGGGCUCGCUGGCCUCAUCAGGCGUCCUCGGUUAUUCCUGAAUAUGUGAAAAGCUUUCUGGUUAUCUGGUCGUUGGAUUUGAGCAUCAGGACCACCUGAAGAGUUGCCAUCUGAGAGCAGCGACACACAGCGACCUCUCACUCUGCUCCUAUAUCUGGACAUCACAUAUGUCACUUUCUGCACAUACUGUGUGUCUAAUAAACAGUCUGGCCUGAAGGAACAUUCCAGACGCAUCUCUGUGUGGUCAUUCUACAUGAAUUUGAAUCAUUUUGUGUCUUUUUUUGACCCUUCUAUGCUUUUGGUGUAAUUUAGUGUAUCUUUGUGGUGACUUUGUAUAAUUUAGUAAUAAUUUGUGUUUUUCAUGCCGAUUUUGUGUCAUUUUAUGUCUCUUUGCAGUAAUUUUGUGUUUUCAUGCUUACUUUAUGUGAUAUUGUGUCAUUUUGUGGUCAUUGUGUGUCUAUGUGGUCAUUAUACUUUUAUUGUGGUCAUUUACUAUAAUUUUCUGUCUUUUUGUUGCCAAUUUAUGCUUUCUAAAGAUGUUUUUGGUGUAAUUUUGUGUACCUUUGUGGUGAUUUUGUGUUUAUUUUGUGUUUUCAUGGUUACUUUGUUGUAUUGUGUCAUUUUGUGGUCAUUUUCUGUCUUUUUUUGGUCAUCCUGUGUCUCUAUGCGGUCAUUGCACAAGAUUUAGGAUCAUUUUGUGGUCCUUUUGUCCUUUUAAUGGUGUUUAUGUGAUUGGUAAAGCCAGUUGGUAUGUAAACAGAAUCCAUUUGCCUGUUCUGUGAAGUGUCUGGAGACAAUCUGAACUGUAAUUGGUGACAUAGAAAUAAAAUGUAAUUGAUUUAAA